AUGCUACUUCCCAGCCCCUACUGCUGCCUCCACCACCGCCCCCUCCUCCUGCUCCUCCUCUUGCUGCUGCUGCUACUGGUUCGCGAGCCGCGCCCAGGCCGGGCCGUCGGGGCUGCAGGGACACCGGGGAGUAGAGGCCGGGGCCGCCCAGGGGGCCAGGCCCGCCCUGCAGCUGCCUGCCGCCGCUGCUGCGCUGGACGCCCUCCACGCCCGGGCCCCUGUUCUAGAGCUCCCUGUUCGUCUCCGCAGUGCCCACCAGGGGAGCAGUGUGUAGCUCCUCAGCUGUGCCCCUGUCGGCCCGGCUGUCGAGCUGUUCGGGUUCCCCGGGCCACAGCGGCCCCCACCCCCAGCCCCGUGCCAGUCACUCGUAGAGAGGCCUCCCUCACCUGGCAGCCGUUGACGUGAGUGCAGACCGGGGGCUCUUUUCCUAACCCCAGUCGGUGCUGCCCUUGCCUCUGAUAGUCC
rnacentral:lncRNA from 1 species